AAAGUCGUAACAAGGUUUCCGUAGGUGAACCUGCGGAAGGAUCAUUACCAAUUCAACGGUGUGGUCGCGGCCUCCGGGGGCUCCCCCCGGGCGGUAGAGGUAACACUCUUACGCGCCACAUGUCUGAAUCCUUUUUUUACGAGCACCUUUCGUUCUCCUUCGGUGGGGCAACCUGCCGUUGGAACUUAUUAAAACCUUUUUUUGCAUCUAGCAUUACCUGUUCAGAUACAAACAAUCGUUACAACUUUCAACAAUGGAUCUCUUGGCUCUGGCAUCGAUGAAGAACGCAGCGAAAUGCGAUAAGUAGUGUGAAUUGCAGAAUUCAGUGAAUCAUCGAAUCUUUGAACGCACAUUGCGCCCCUUGGUAUUCCAUGGGGCAUGCCUGUUCGAGCGUCAUCUACACCCUCAAGCUCUGCUUGGUGUUGGGCGUCUGUCCCGCCUCUGCGCGUGGACUCGCCCCAAAUUCAUUGGCAGCGGUCUUUGCCUCCUCUCGCGCAGCACAUUGCGCUUCAGAGGGGUGUGGGCCGCGUCCACGAAGCAACAUUAUCGUCUUUGACCUCGGAUCAGGUAGGGAUACCCGCUGAACUUAAGCAUAUCA
rnacentral:rRNA from 1 species